GUGGGUAGCGGUGAAAUUCCAAUCGAGCCCGGAGAUAGCUGGUUCUCCCCGAAAUAGCUUUAGGGCUAGCCUCAAGGUGAGAGAUACGGAGGUAGAGCACUGAAUGUCCUAGGGGGUAUUGCACCUACCGAAGACUAUCAAACUCCGAAUGCCGUCAUCUUAUACUUGGGAGUCAGACUGUGGGUGAUAAGAUUCAUAGUCGAAAGGGCAACAGCCCAGAUCGUCAGCUAAGGUCCCUAAAUGUAAGUUAAGUGGUAAAGGAUGUGGGAUUGCACAGACAACCAGGAUGUUGGCUUAGAAGCAGCCACUCAUUCAAAGAGUGCGUAAUAGCUCACUGGUCGAGUGAUCCUGCGCCGAAGAUUUCCGGGGCUAAAACUUACUACCGAAGCUACGGCAUCAGUAAUGAUGGGUAGGGGAGCUUCCCAUACGGGUUGAAGCAUGACCGUAAGGACAUGUGGACAGUAUGGGAGUGAGAAUGUUGGCAUGAGUAGCGAGAUGUGGGUG
rnacentral:rRNA from 1 species